AGGAGGACCUGGUGACUGUAAUGGUGGAUAUUAUCAUCAUGUGAUCUGUUCAGAGUCUGUGCAGCUUGUGGAUGGAGCUGGCCUCUGCUCUGGGAGACUGGAGGUGAAGUCCAAUCAGUCCUGGGCCUCAGUGUGUGAAGCUGACUUUGACCAGCAGGAUGCAGAGGUAGUCUGUGGGGAGCUUGGCUGUGGGGCUCCUGCAGCUCUACAGGGGGGGCUCUAUGGAGAAGGUGAGGAGGGUCAGACCUGGGAUAAAGAGUUCCAGUGUAAAGGCAAUGAGUCCCUUCUCCUGGACUGUGACACCUCAGACAGAAAAAACAACACCUGCCUACCUGGUAAUGCUGUUGGACUCACCUGCUCAGAGCCUGAUGAUGUGAGGCUGGUGGGAGGAGGCAGUCGCUGUGCUGGUGGAGUGGAGCGGUACUACCAGGGAGAGUGGAGGACUGUGGGAGCUGUAGACAGGAACAAGGAGGCUGUAGCUGCAGUAGUGUGUAGACAGCUGGGUUGUGGCUCCACUGUUUCAGUACUACCUGGAAACACCACUAGAGGGUUUAGAGUUUGUUGUUCUGGG